rnacentral:tmRNA from 1 species
GGGGGCGUACUGGCUUCGACGGGAUUGAAUCGUUGUGGUAAGGCGUGUCGGGUUCCGAGCUCCCGUAAAACGAUCGGAAAACCAUAACUGCCAAUCAGCAGUUUGCAUACGCUGCCUAAUUAAUUAGGUAGCCGCCCCGGCCGGGGGGCUCGCACUCCGGCUAGUGGGCGUCAUCUCGCGGGCUGGGUGUAAGGCUUCUGCUCGGAGCCCCAAGCCGAGAUCAAUCGGGCUAAGCUGGCGUUUCUUGCCGGUUCAGCGGCGCCAGUCGAACAAAUACGAACCGGAUACACACGUAGGCUUGUCACGGCGGACUUUCUCGGACGCGGGUUCAACUCCCGCCGCCUCCACCA